rnacentral:rRNA from 1 species
GAUGAACGCUGGCGGCGUGCCUAAUACAUGCAAGUCGAGCGAACAGACGAGGAGCUUGCUCCUCUGACGUUAGCGGCGGACGGGUGAGUAACACGUGGAUAACCUACCUAUAAGACUGGGAUAACUUCGGGAAACCGGAGCUAAUACCGGAUAAUAUAUUGAACCGCAUGGUUCAAUAGUGAAAGACGGUUUUGCUGUCACUUAUAGAUGGAUCCGCGCCGCAUUAGCUAGUUGGUAAGGUAACGGCUUACCAAGGCAACGAUGCGUAGCCGACCUGAGAGGGUGAUCGGCCACACUGGAAAUGAGAAACGGUCCAGACUCCUACGGGAGGCAGCAGUAGGGAAUCUUCCGCAAUGGGCGAAAGCCUGACGGAGCAACGCCGCGUGAGUGAAGAAGGUCUUCGGAUCGUAAAACUCUGUUAUUAGGGAAGAACAAAUGUGUAAGUAACGAUGCACGUCUUGACGGUACCUAAUCAGAAAGCCACGGCUAACUACGU